AAUGAACGUUGGCGGCAUGGAUUAGGCAUGCAAGUCGAGCGAGAAGAGUUUUGAAGCUUGCUUUAGAACUCGGACAGCGGCGAAAGGGAGAGUAACGCGUAGUUAUGUGCCCUAGGGUCCGGAAUAGCCACGGGAAACUGUGGGUAAUGCCGGAUAAUAUCCCCGGAUCAAAGGUGUGAUUCCGCCCUAGGAGCAGACUGCGUCCUACUAGCUAGUUGGUGGGGUAAUGGCCUACCAAGGCAACGAUGGGUAGCGGGUGGGAGAGCAUGACCCGUCUCACUGGGACUGAGACACUGCCUAGACACCUACGGGUGGCUGCAGUCGAGAAUCUUCGGCAAUGGGCGAAAGCCUGACCGAGCGAUGCCGCGUGCGGGAUGAAGGCCCUCGGGUUGUAAACCGCUGUCGUAGGGGAGGAAGGUUCCGUGAAGAGCGGAAUUUGACCUAUCCUAGGAGGAAGUACGGGCUAAGUUCGUGCCAGCCGCCGCUGUAA
rnacentral:rRNA from 1 species